AUUAGCGGAAAUUUCGCCUGGUCCUGAUGAUGUCACUUCCAGUUCUGGUCCCGAUGACGUCACGUCCUCCGCUCUCCCUUAAAACUGCCAUCUUUACCUCAGUAAAUAAGUUCUGUUUUGGACUCAAACCUGCCCACAACUGUAUACCAUUUAACCAUUUUGCAGCCAGGAAACACUAUACGGGUGGCUGGCCCAAAUCUUUGUUUGGCUCUUUGUCUCGUCUUUGACAAUGUUUAUGAAGCUACUUUGGUUUCUGUGUACAGGACUGGCUGUGAUGAUUCCAUUCAAAGAAAAAGCCAUGAUGGGGUGCCAUUUACACGUUUACCUUGGGCAGUUAAAACGUGAGAGCCAGCCCUGGAAGGAUCAGACGGCUUCCCUCAAGGUUGUCACCGAGUCUUGUCGGAGGUUAUUUCAAACUUUCCAGCAUGCUGGCUUUCCAACUGCCAAAAAAGAAGAACACUUUCCUGAGUGGAGUGGAUGUGGCUGUACAGGUCUGGUCAUUUUCAGCAGCAGACUCUUAUAAUGGAGGAUUUCUGCAUUGGAUUUUCUGGAUUACAGUAGGCCCGGCCCCCCAUGUCAAUGGGUGAUAUAUUCUAAGAUCUUUAUGGACGCCCAAAACCGUGGAUAGUAUCAUACCCCAUAUAUAAGUGAAAUACAUACUGUGAGAGACGGCCGGCAGCUCAAUCCAGCCGGGACGUCCCAGAAUGAGAAGAAUGGAGAAGGGCAGCAUUUUCAGGACACUGCCUCCCCCAGGAUGCUAGGUGGCAGCUCCCCUGGCUGGUAAAUGUACCCUGAAUUCCCACAGGGCAUCAUGGGAUGUGGACUCCAUUUUCUCAUCCCUGUUGGAUGCCAUGGGUGCUGCCAGGGGGAGCUAAUAAAGGACCUGGGGACUCCUACUUUUCUUACAACCCGGGAUGCUUGAUGAAGAUGAUAUGGCAUUUGACCUGGAAGAAGAGGAGAAGCAUUUCCAGGUCCCAGAAUAUAUAAAGGACUGUUGGAGACCCAGCAAGCGGA